CGCGAGGUAGAGCAGCGGUAGCUCGUCGGGCUCAUAACCCGAAGGUCCUUGGUUCGAUCCCAAGCCUCGCUACAA
rnacentral:tRNA from 1 species